rnacentral:misc_RNA from 1 species
GAUGAAGAACGCAGCGAAAUGCGAAAAGUAAUGUGAAUUGCAGAAUUCAGUGAACCAUCGAAUCUUUGAACGCACAUUGCGCCCGCUGGAACUCCGGCGGGCACGCCUGUCCGAGCGUCAUUUCAACCCUCAGGCCCCCCUUCGUGGGCGGGCCUGGUGUUGGGGCCCGGCCGCUACCCUGCGGCCGUCCCCUAAAUUCAGUGGCGGCCUCGCCGUGAUCCCUUGCGUAGUAAUGCACCUCGCACCGGAGAGCGCCGUGGCCACGCCGUAAAACCCCCAAUUUUCAAUGGUUGACCUCGGAUCAGGUGGGAAUACCCGCUGAACUUAAGCAUAUCAAUAAGCGGAGGA